rnacentral:rRNA from 1 species
UACGUAGGCAGCGAGCGUUGUUCGGAGUUACUGGGCGUAAAGGGUGUGUAGGCGGUUGUUUAAGUUUGGGGUGAAAUCUCCCGGCUCAACCGGGAGGGUGCGCCGAAUACUGAGUGACUAGAGUGCGGGAGAGGAAAGUGGAAUUCCUGGUGUAGCGGUGAAAUGCGUAGAUAUCAGGAGGAACACCGGUGGUGUAGACGGCUUUCUGGACCGUAACUGACGCUGAGACACGAAAGCGUGGGUAGCAAACAGG